ensembl:piRNA 21ur-5579 ncRNA
UUCUUCGUUUGGGUGAAAAAA